UUUUUUUUUUGGCUUUUUAGGGCCGCACGCAUGGCAUAUGGAGGUUCUGUGGCUAGGGGUCCAAUCGGAGCUAUAGCUGCCAGCCUACACCGCAGCCACAGCAAUGAGGGAUCCGAGCCGCGUCUGCAACCUACACCACAGCUCACGGCAAUGCUAGAUCCUUAACCCACUGAGCAAGCCAGGGAAAAAUUUUUUUUUCCAAACUUUCUCCCUCAGCUGACCACAGUUUUCAUUCAACUGUGGACGAUUACGAGAGAAAUCCAGGAAAGAAAUUUAUUUAUUGCUCUACAACUUUCAUUAAACUACUUAUUAUACUCAGUACCAGCUAACUCUUCGAAAUAAUUUCUCAAAGUUCUUCCAACCUUAUUCCAUUCAAGUAGUCCUAAAACGUUUAUUGAACCAUUGAAUUUUAUUGACUAAAAAUUCCUUUGAGGUACUUGCUAACAUUAUUAUCAUUAGGUAUUAGGAGGAUUAUUGCAAGUUCAUCUUGGUGAGGAUUUGCCAGAUGUAAGCUAUUAUUUUCUCCCAACCUUGUGAAAUCUUUGCUUCAGAACAAAAUCCUUAUAGGCAAUGGGAUCUGCAUUAGGCAGGUACACCUUCUGUAUUGGUGAUAAAAUAAAAGUACACACAUUUCUAAAAAUGUCAUUCAACUUAACAUGGCAGAUGCAAAACAGAUGAAUGUUAUUCUUCUAAGAGAGUGACUGCUAAUCUUGAGAGAUGAACUGAAGCAGGUGAUCCAAGGUAUUUUUGCAUUGACUGUUGUUUUCUUCCCCACACAUUUCAGAAAAAAAUAAAACAGCUUUUAACAUAUAUUACUGAUAAUGAUUGUUUUCAGCACUGUAGUUUGUAACGACAUUUGGAAUUGAUCAACUUUUUUAUUUUAUUUAUUUAUUUAUUUAUUGGGGGUUUUUUUGUUUGUCUUUUUGCCUUUUCUAGGGCUGCACCCGCGGCAUAUGGAGGUUCCCAGAAAAUUAAAAAACAGAACUACCAUAUGAUCAAGCAAUUCCAUUUCUGGGAAUAUAUCCAAAGGAAACAAAAGCACUAACUCUAAAAGAUAUCUGUGCCCUUUUGUUCACUGCAGCAUUAUUUUCCAUAGCCAAGACACAGAAACAACCUAAAUAUCCAUCAGUGGAUGAAUGAAUAAAGACAUUGUGGUAUAAACAUAUACAAUGGAGUAUUAUUUAACCAUAAAUAAUGAGAAGUCGUGACAACAUGGAUGGACCUUGGAGGCAUUAUGCUAAGGGAAAUAAGUCAGAGAACAAUAAAUACUGUAUGAUCUCACUAAUAUGUGGAGUUAAAAAAAAUAAAGCUCAUAGAGAAAAGAUAAGCUUUCUGGAUACCAGAUGUGGAGAUGGUGGUGAGGGGGGAACGGGAGGAAGGUAGUCAAAAGGUACAAACUUCCAGUUAUAAGAUAAGUAAGUACUAGGGAUGGAAUGACAACAUGCUGAAGACUGCUAACACUGCCAUAUGCUAUACAGGAGAAUUGCGAAGAAAGCAAAUUACAAGAGCUCUUAUCACAAGGAGAAUUUUUUUCCUUUCUUAUUUUCUUUUUAUUGUAUCUAUAUGAGAAGAAGGAUGUUAGCUGACACUUUUGGGAUAAUCAUUUCAUAAUAUAUGUAAAGCAAAUCACGCUGUACACCUUAAGCUCACACACGAUGCAUGUCAAUUACUUCUCAAUAAAACUGGAAAGAAGAUAUUUAAAAGCAAUUAAAUAGGAAACCACAUAGUUAACAUAUCAUCCGUACAUUUUUCAGGACCAAGACUUAGAGAAUUAUCAUUGGGGUCAUUAAAACAGGUGCAACUAAAAUGUUUCACAACUGGAAGAAUCAUUAUUUUAAA
rnacentral:lncRNA from 1 species